UUAUUUAUAUAAUAUGAUAGUGUUAGUGUUAUUUAUAAAACAUAUAUAAAAGUGUUAUUUAUAAUAGUGUUAGUGUCAUUUUCAUGUAGUAUCAUUUGUAGAAUAUAAUAGUGUUAUUUAUAUAAAUGAUAGUGUCAUUUAUCAGAAAGAAAAAAAAAAUUGAAAAUACAAUUUAAGAAAAAAAGAAAAAAUAAAUAAAAAGAAAAAGAAAAAGGCAAAAAUUUAGCCAAAAAAAGAAGAAGGAAAAAACCAAAAUGAACGAAAGAAAAAGAACGAAGAGAACAAAAGAAGAAAGAAAAAGAAGGAAAAAAAAAAAUGAACAAAAGGCAAAAAUACAAAAGAAGCACUGGAAACAUGUAAAAAGUAGAACAAUUUUGCAUAAAAUGGGAUUCGAGAACCCGCGAUCUUUACUUAUGAGGCGCGGGUUCUAACCAGUUGAGCUAGCUCCAUUUCAUUGAUAGUUGAGACGCGAAUUUUUUUUUAUAUAUUAUAUAAUUUUUAAUCGGGUCAGAUUUGACUCGAUUGUACCGUACACUUGGGUGUACACAAGACUAGCCCAUAAGUUUAAUACAGAAAGAGAAGCAAAGAGAAAAAAAAAAUCGUAUGUUAAAUUUAGGAGAGAUGAGAUAGAAAAAAUAUUAUACUUUUAAUUUUUAUGAGGGAAGGGAAAAAAGUUUUUCUUAAAACUGUAACUUACCAUAAAUUAUUAAUUUCAAAUUCAUUUUUGAUGAUUUUUCAAAUUAAAGAUGGUUUGACAAUUUUUAGAAAGUAAUCAACACAC
rnacentral:lncRNA from 1 species